UUACCCAAUCCCGAUUCGGGGAGGUAGUGACAAUAAAUAACAAUACAGGGCCAACGGUCUUGUUAUUGGAAUGAGAACAAUUUAAAUAACUUAACGAGGAUCAAUUAGAGGGCAAGUCUGGUGCCAGCAGCCGCGGUAAUUCCAGCUCUAAUAGCGUAUAUUAAAGUUGUUGCAGUUAAAAAGCUCGUAGUCGGAUGUCGGGCUCGGGCAGGCUGUCGGCUUCGGUCGGACGGCUGGCUCGGGUCUUUCUGCCUGAGGAUCCUGUUGCACUUAAUUGUGGGGCGUGGGGACGCAGGCCGUUUACUUUGAAAAAAUUAGAGUGUUCAAAGCAGGCCUACGCUUGAAUACAUUAGCAUGGAAUAAUGGAAUAGGACUUUGGUGCUAUUUUGUUGGUUUAUGGGACCGAAGUAAUGAUUAACAGGGACAGUUGGGGCCGUUUAUAUUUCGUUGUCAGAGGUGAAAUUCUUGGAUUUACGAAAGAUAAACUUCUGCGAAAGCAUUCGGCAAGGAUGUUUUCAUUGAUCAAGAACGAAAGUUAGGGGAUCGAAGACGAUCAGAUACCGUCGUAGUCUUAACCAUAAACUAUGCCGACUAGGGAUCAGUGGAUGUCAAUUUGCGACUCCAUUGGCACCUUGUGAGAAAUCAAAGUUUUUGGGUUCCGGGGGGAGUAUGGUCGCAAGGCUGAAACUUAAAGGAAUUGACGGAAGGGCACCACCAGGAGUGGAGCCUGCGGCUUAAUUUGACUCAACACGGGGAAACUUACCAGGUCCAGACAUAGUAAGGAUUGACAGAUUGAAAGCUCUUUCUUGAUUCUAUGGGUGGUGGUGCAUG
rnacentral:rRNA from 1 species